CCUACGGGGGGCAGCAGUGAGGAAUAUUGGUCAAUGGACGAGAGUCUGAACCAGCCAAGUAGCGUGAAGGAUGACUGCCCUAUGGGUUGUAAACUUCUUUUAUAUGGGAAUAAAAUGUUCCACGUGUGGGAUUUUGUAUGUACCAUAUGAAUAAGGAUCGGCUAACUCCGUGCCAGCAGCCGCGGUAAUACGGAGGAUCCGAGCGUUAUCCGGAUUUAUUGGGUUUAAAGGGAGCGUAGGUGGAUUGUUAAGUCAGUUGUGAAAUUUUGCGGCUCAACCGUAAAAUUGCAGUUGAAACUGGCAGUCUUGAGUACAGGAGAGGUGGGCGGAAUUCGUGGUGUAGCGGUGAAAUGCUUAGAUAUCACGAAGAACUCCGAUGGCGAAGGCAGCUCACUGGACUGCAACUGACACUGAGGCUCGAAAGUGUGGGUAUCAAACAGGAUUAGAUACCCCGGUAGUC
rnacentral:rRNA from 1 species